rnacentral:rRNA from 1 species
CCUACGGGAGGCAGCAGUGGGGAAUAUUGCACAAUGGGCGCAAGCCUGAUGCAGCCAUGUCGCGUGUAUGAAGAAGGCCUUCGGGUUGUAAAGUACUUUCAGCGGGGAGGAAGGCGAUAAGGUUAAUAACCUUGUCGAUUGACGUUACCCGCAGAAGAAGCACCGGCUAACUCCGUGCCAGCAGCCGCGGUAAUACGGAGGGUGCAAGCGUUAAUCGGAAUUACUGGGCGUAAAGCGCACGCAGGCGGUCUGUCAAGUCGGAUGUGAACUCCCCGGGCUCAACCUGGGAACUGCAUUCGAAACUGGCAGGCUAGAGUCUUGUAGAGGGGGGUAGAAUUCCAGGUGUAGCGGUGAAAUGCGUAGAGAUCUGGAGGAAUACCGGUGGCGAAGGCGGACCCCUGGACAAAGACUGACGCUCAGGUGCGAAAGCUUGGGGCGCAAACAGGAUUAGAUACCCCGGUAGUC